AAAAAAACCAGGAGAAAAUGAAAAUCCAACCAAAAUAUAUUAUAGCCUUUAUACAUCUAGUAAGAGAAGAAGAGAAAAAUAGUCCUUAAGCUGGGACUCGGGUAGUACCACAUUAAACAUUUAAGUCCUUUUCUAAGCAAGGUUAUGUCUGCUUAACAUAACCGCUUCUAGCAGACAAAAUGGACAGGAUGGAACUUUUGGGGAUUGUUUUGUUAGUCUGAGGCCUGUACUAUUCACUCUGGGGAGAUACUGAGAGCAAUCUGGUUUGUCGUUGGUUUCCAGAAGUGGGAUAUAUGAUCAUCCAGAUAUUGUAGGUACAUAGUUAAAAGUUCUUAACUGAAUUUGGGACAGUUUGGUUAAUCACAUGCAGAGGAUAUAGAACGAAUCUCCCAAGAAAAAGGAGUGGAUACUCAGAUUGUAAGUGAUAGUAAGCCAUCUCUUUUCAAGUACGGCAUCUAGCAGUGGUUAGUCUGAAAUAGUACAGUGCUAAAGCUUUCAGGCUUAGGUUUGUUGUAGUUACCAGCCAGGCCAUUUUUAGCACACAUUAGAAGCCUUUUUUUGCAAUCCUACUUAAAGAAGCUGUCAGGUAGUUGCCACUAAUUUCUCUUCUGUUCCUUGGAACCUGCCCAGCGACCAUAAAGUCAGUGUUGUUUACUAAAGUUGUCCUGUAGAAGAUUCUGGAAACUUGCAGUAUAGCUCCCUUACUCUUGAGGUGUAUUUAGAUGUGCAUCUUAGAAUGCUUUCUUACCAGCAGUUCUUUUUAAGAGUAAACAGUAUGUGUAGAUCAGUUACUGCAAAAUGGAACUAAUAUGUAGAGUCUCUUAAAAUAACCUGGUAUUUGCUGGAUAUUAGACUAGGUUACCACUGUGUGUCAUUUUAAUUUAUUUUUAAACAUUUUUUAGGUUGUUUGGGAUGAUUCAUAUAAACUAGGCUGUGCUGUUGUUUUCUGUAAAGAAGUUGGAGGAAUAAAAAAUGCAGCAAAUUUUGUUUGCAACUAUGCACCAGCUGGUAAUUUUAAAAGAAGACCAUAUGAAGAGGGAGCACCAUGCAGUAAAUGUGGCAGGAGGGACUUCUGUGAUAGGAAACUGUGUAGAAAUGCAGAACGUGAUAAAAUUGUCUAUUACUCAAGAUGGCAUCCACCUUGGGAGUUCAGAAUUGUAUGUGAUGAGGCGUGCAUUGCUAUUAUAAUUUCAAGAGCAUCGCUGAUAUUUGUUGGUUUUCUAGCUACUUAUUUGUUCAGAAAACACUUUACAAACAUGUUUAUGUCCAUGUAACUGGAUUUGAAAUACAUGCAAUAUUCUGAACAAUCUCUAAUGAAUUAAGCAAAAAUCUGUAUUGAUAUGGUUUUAAAGCCAACUGUCUUUUACAGUAGUUUUGUUACUAUUUUUCUGCUCCUUACACAAAACUUAACAUGCUAUAAAAAUUAAAAAUUUAUUUGAGGGUAAGACCCAUGUUGAGAAAAUAGUAAACUAAGGAUGGCAUCUGAUAAGAUUAGAAGCAUUGUUUUUAAUAGCCAGAUUUAUGUAUUGAACUCUGUUUAAUUACUGAAUUUACACACUAUGUUCUUGGAAUUCAAGGAGAAAAAUGCCCAUCAGUUUAAAAACCUGUUACAGUUCAUGCUAAGCCAAUAUUUGAUGUGGCAAAUGUUUAAUUUUAACGCCAAGAGGAAGCUAGCAUCGUAUUACAUACAAAGUCCUUUUUGCUAGAGUGACAGAAUGUUCUGAGUAAAAUCUAUGAAGUAAGAUGUUUCUUUAGAAAGGCAGUUCUUAGAAGUAUUGAUGUUUGUGAAGUAGUACAACUUGAUAUCUAGUUAUGCAUUCAUUGUUCCUCAUUCAAAAUAAGAUUGUUCAGAUUAUUACUUGGUUCCUAACUCCAUCUAAACCUUGUGUCCAUUUGUAAACUUUUGCUGUUGUAUUCUUUACAUUGUACUGUUACUGAUGCAUAGAAUAUUUCCUAUCCUGUAAGUGUUCUGUAGUUUUAAUAAUAAAUUUUCUUGUAUUUUAAACCUACUGAAGCCUUUUUAUUCAACACAGAUUUCACUCUUCUAUAUCAAAUCUUUAAUUAUUUCACUUUCUUUAAAAAGCA
ensembl:lncRNA